rnacentral:rRNA from 1 species
UACGUAGGGUGCAAGCGUUGUCCGGAAUUAUUGGGCGUAAAGAGCUCGUAGGCGGUCUGUCGCGUCUGCUGUGAAAACUCAGGGCUUAACCCUGAGCUUGCAGUGGGUACGGGCAGACUAGAGUGCGGUAGGGGAGACUGGAAUUCCUGGUGUAGCGGUGAAAUGCGCAGAUAUCAGGAGGAACACCGGUGGCGAAGGCGGGUCUCUGGGCCGUAACUGACGCUGGAGGAAGCGAAAGCAUGGGGAGCGAACGGG